UACCAAUUGUUGCCUCGGCGGAUCAGCCCGCUCCCGGUAAAACGGGACGGCCCGCCAGAGGACCCCUAAACUCUGUUUCUAUAUGUAACUUCUGAGUAAAACCAUAAAUAAAUCAAAACUUUCAACAACGGAUCUCUUGGUUCUGGCAUCGAUGAAGAACGCAGCAAAAUGCGAUAAGUAAUGUGAAUUGCAGAAUUCAGUGAAUCAUCGAAUCUUUGAACGCACAUUGCGCCCGCCAGUAUUCUGGCGGGCAUGCCUGUUCGAGCGUCAUUUCAACCCUCAAGCCCCCGGGUUUGGUGUUGGGGAUCGGCGAGCCCUUGCGGCAAGCCGGCCCCGAAAUCUAGUGGCGGUCUCGCUGCAGCUUCCAUUGCGUAGUAGUAAAACCCUCGCAACUGGUACGCGGCGCGGCCAAGCCGUUAAACCCCCAACUUCUGAAUGUUGACCUCGGAUCAGGUAGGAAUACCCGCUGAACUUAAGCAUAUCAAUAAGCGGAGGAA
rnacentral:rRNA from 1 species